AUGAGCUGCCCUGCACAAAGGCAGCUCUCAGACAAUGUUCAGGACAUUCAAGCCAGCAGCGGGAGAGGACAGGUGCCCCAGGCUGUGGUCCACCACACAACUACCACUGCUGUGUCUGGGGAGAAGAGACUGGAUGAGUGUGACACUGCUCGGGAAGAGCCGAACGGAACGACCCUGCUUGGGAUGAAGAGCCAAACAAUGUUGUUUGUUCCAGGUAACAGUUCCCCCACCCUCACCGUCCUGCCCCCCUCUAGUGAGGAGCUGUCCAGUACAACAACAGCCACACUGACAUGUUUGGCCAACAAGGGUUUCCCCUCAGACUGGACCUUGAGCUGGAAAGUGGACGGGUCCAGCAAGAAGCAGGAGGACAGUACCAGGGUCCUGGAAAAGGAUGGUCUGUACAGCUGGAGCAGCACCCUGACUCUCACUGGCCAGGAGUGGACCAAGGCAGGAGAGGUGACCUGUGAAGCCCAGCAGAAAUCCCAGACUCCAGUCACCAAGACCCUAAGGAGGGCUGACUGUUCUGGGUAGAACCCCUCAGUCACACACUCCUGUGGAGAGAGGCUGCUGGUUCCUCUGCUUUGACUCUGUUCUGAGAUCAGAUGUUCUCUGUCUUAUUGAUCACAUGUAGACUA